UGCAUGUAAUGAUAUGAGUCCCUGUGACUGGUUUGAGCGGUCUGCGGGCUGGCAGAUUGAUUGGUGGAUUGAUGUAAAGCCUGUACAUCUGUGCUGACUAAUGUGGGCCAAUCAGACUGAUGUAAACCAAUUUGAUUUGAUUGAAAAGCCAAUUGAUUGAAGCUUGGACAUGUAAGCCAUCAACUAGCGACCAGCAGGGGAAAGAAAACGGAUGUGAAAGAGAGGGAUUUGAUUGAUUAGCUGAUAGAUUGAUUAAGUGAUGUAGAUGCUAAGUUUAAAGAGCCAUCGCUGGCCCCUUCAUAUGUGUUUAACCCCGCUCCCACACUAACCUUCAGUCUUUAAGCCGCUCAGCAGGGUUCAUUACAUCUAAGUGUGAAUAAUUCAUGCUCUGGACGCUGUAGCAUGAAGAAAGAAGGUCAUACAGGUUUGGAACAACAUAAGGCGUGCAGAUACAGAUGCUCUGGCGUCUGGAGGCCGGGAUCCGUAGCAUGUGUUUUGUGUGAGAACGCUGGCCUCUUCUUAACUUGUGUUUGUGUUCGGUUGCUGGGUGCCUGGCUGACGAGAGGGGGCCCCGGCAACCGUCCGCCUACGCCUCAUCACGGACGGUUCUGUUUUUUCCUUCCCCCUGCUUGCAAAGGUUUGCGUGUGUUAACACAGAACGUAGAGAGGGAUCGAGGAGGGGUGGGCACACGAAAUGGCAAUUAAACCACGAUGACCCCCGUCGCCUCCGCAGGUUGCUCGCUGUCACUGUGUCGGCUGAAAAGAAGAGAGGGGAUGCAAACAAGCACACGGCAGUGGAUAUGAUAUGUGUUCCUCCCACAGCUAUAAAACCUGCAGAUCUUACAAACUGGAGCACUAGAUGAUCUCAAACACUGCCAUCUUACUUGUGUGUACUGACAACAGAGUGUAUCCAGGGAAGCAGGGCAUGUUGAGACACAAAGGGGCUGUAACAGCAUUGCAGACUCGUCCUUAAAUACUGCAACAAGCACUUAGUUUGACAAGCCGCUGACAGAAGAGUACACGACUUGAGCUUAACGUGGUGACAGCCUAAACUUAGGUGUGUUCACUCCAUCAGAACCAGAAGACACUUAAGGGUGCAAAAAAAACAUAGCUAUAUUAGAUGAUGCUAUUUGUGCACAAUAAAUGUUUAUUGGGAUUUAUUGUGCUGCUAUGACAUCCUGGCUGAGAGCUUUUGGUAACUAAACGAGGGAGAAUUAACUGUUGCGUUUAGAAGCUUUAAAUAGCACAGAGGGAGGGAACGCAUGGGCAAGGACUUGCACUAUGACUGCAUGUCUCACUUAGAGUGCAUGUAAAAAAUGUGCGUGUGUGUGUGUGUGUGUAUCCAACAUCAUCGAUACAGUAGAAGAAGACCUUCAAAAUUCGGCACUAAUGCCA